AAUAGGAGGAGUGGUGAUGGCUUGUCAGUGGCUCGGCUGAAGGUCGUCUUCAACGUUCGUCUUCUUCCUCCCGACCGAGCGGGAGCAGCAGGGGAACACGGCGCGCACGGAAGGUCGGCCGAGGGCGACCCGGCGGCGGCUAGGGGAGGCGCGGAGAAGCUCCGGCGACCACCCACCGGCUGCGGCGGCGCUUGGAGGGACGGGGCGCAUGGCCGCCAUGGCUGCACCAUAGCCGAGCUCGGCUGCAAGUGGCUAGGACGACAGGAAGGGAAGGGGAGCCCCCGGGAUGGCCGGUCCACGGCGAGCUCGCCGGCGGCGAAACAGUAG
rnacentral:lncRNA from 1 species